CAAUAGCGUAUAUUAAAGUUGUUGCAGUUAAAAAGCUCGUAGUUGAAUUUCUGGCGGGCGCGCCGGUCUUCCAAGUGUUGUACUGGGCGCAGUCCGCCAUCCUUGUGGAGAGGGCUCGCAUUGAGUUGCGUGUCGGAUCUGCAUCAUUUACUGUGAAAAAAUUAGAGUGUUUAAAGCAGGCUGUCGCUUGGAUACAUUAGCAUGGAAUAAUAAGAUAGGACUUCGGUCUAUUUUGUUGGUUGCGAACCGAGGUAAUGAUUAAUAGGGAUAGUUGGGGGUAUUCAUAUUUAAUUGUCAGAGGUGAGAUUCUUGGAUUUAUGAAAGAUGAACAACUGCGAAAGCAUUUACCAAGGAUGUUUUCAUUAA
rnacentral:rRNA from 1 species